AGAGCAAUAAGUAUUUACUAUGACAUUUUACUUAUGCAGGUGGUACUGAAAGAUUCCAGUCCUGUGGAGCUGUUUCAUCACAGCUGCACAUGUUGCUUGAGCAGCAUUAUGCAACCACUGUGUCGCUUUGCUGUUCCAGUCAGCACAUUACUCUCAGCUGAAUGUGCCAGUGGUCCCUCCUGUGCUAAGCUGUACUGAAGGAGAACCGCAGUGGCACAAGCCUAGAACUCUGGUAUAAAACCUGGCCCUGUAGAUAAGAUGGCUGUGCUUUCUGCUAAACCAAAGUGUAGAGCAACAACAGAUGGUGUAAGGAGCACACUCUACAAAGGCCUCAGUGGGGAUUUGCCCGAUCUUUCCGUUCUUCGGGUGACAGACGUGUAUAAAGAUGUCUCUACAGUGGAGGCACCGAUGAUCUGCAGCAUGGGCAUCAGCUGUGAAAUUCCCCUGGUUGACUCUGCCCUUGGCAAGGUUCAAGCCGGAAGUCCAUUGUCCUACCAACAAUGAGCAACAGCAAAGAGAGACCUGUCCUUUCAUGCUGCCCCACCACGUCCAUCUGUGCCUCUUCAGAAUUACCGCCUACAGCCAUCAAGUUGCAUGUUUGUCUGUGCUGAACCACAACAGCUACACCAUAGGAGUCUGGAGGUCACCUGGGACAUGGUGCACAAAUUUGAAUGUGCUACCAGAGCACAAAGUUCAAGUACUGAAUGGCAUCAGCUAAGGAGGAAUAGAUUGACUGCCUCACGUUUCAGGGAGAUCUGCCAGGUUCGAGAGAACUCUGAAGAAGGUUCGGCUAACAGGAUAUUGCAAGGGACCCGUCAGACAGCAGCUUGAAUUAGAGGCAAAUGCUAUCUGGGAAUAUUGCCAAAUGAAAAGGAUCAACCACUACCCCUGUGGAUUCGUAAUUCACCCUGACGCUCCUUGGCUGGGGGCAUCUCCAGACGGGUUUAUCUUUGACCCUUCAGAGCCAUGUCAGUUUGGACUGAUUGAGAUGAAGUGCCCAAAUGUUAAAAGCUAUGUGGACAGGCUAUUUCUCCUGUAUCUCAAAAUGAAUUCAGGCAAAUUGGAGUUAAAACAAACUCAUGCUUACUACUGGCAAGUACAGGGGCAGAUGCUAAUAACGGGAAUUAGUUGGUGUGAUUUUGUAGUCUCAGCUGAGGAAGACAUACUAAUUCAAAGAAUUUACAGAGAUAGGGAUGUUUUGGAUGUGAUCAGAGAGAAAGUAGACAGGUUUUAUUUUUAUGUCUAUUUGCAGAAAUGCCUAAUGCGUCAGGAUUGAAUCCAUUAUUCUAUGCUCAUCCUUCAUCUUCUUAUCCGGGGCCGG